ACAGCAGCAGCCACGGUAAUACGGAGGGGGCUGGCGUUGUUCGGAAUUACUGGGCGUAAAGCGCACGUAGGCGGCUUGGUAAGUUAGAGGUGAAAGCCCGGAGCUCAACUCCGGAAUUGCCUUUAAGACUGCCGAGCUAGUAGGUGAGAGAGGUAAGUGGAAUUCCGAGUGUAGAGGUGAAAUUCGUAGAUAUUCGGAAGAACACCAGUGGCGAAGGCGGCUUACUGGCUCAUUCUAGACGCUGAGGUGCGAAAGCGUGGGGAGCAAACAGGAUUAGAUACCCCAGUAGUCCCUGUCUCUUAUAC
rnacentral:rRNA from 1 species